GGCUCUAUUCAUAUUUAAGUUGGCAAUAUAAUUAAUUUAAGCUCUAUAUCUUGUUCGGAUUAGUUUUGUAGCCAUUGCCUCGUAUUAGCAUUGUUGAUUUUUUUUCCAUGAUUACUAAUUUCUUUUCCAUCAUCUAGAUAUUGAAAGCUUUCCAAACUGAAAUCUCCAGGAAACAACCUAGCAAGCACCAACUUGUUCCAUGC
rnacentral:lncRNA from 1 species